rnacentral:piRNA from 1 species
UGGGUGGGAUCUGUUCUUCAGUCUGUCAUGU